GAUGAAGAACGUAGCGAAAUGCGAUAAUUAAUGUGAAUUGCAGAAUUCCGUGAAUCAUCGAGUCUUUGAACGCACAUUGCGCCUCAUGGCAUUCCGUGAGGCAUGCCCAUCUCAGCGUUAGAAAAUAUUCUCAAAUUUUAGUUUUGUGCUAAAAUUUGGAUCAUGUCAAAGAAGCUAUUACUAUUAUUGUGAUCGCUCUUUGGAAAUUGAUAGGUCUUUGAGUUGCUACUCAUAGAACGUGAUGAAUCUUUCUUCGUUCUAUUGUAAUUCACUCUGGUAGUCCUAAAACUUGUAUGCCUGUGGCAUAUCUUGUAAUUUGACCUGAGAUUGGGUAGGGAUACCCACUGAACUUAAGCAUAUCAAAGCGGAGGA
rnacentral:misc_RNA from 1 species